UACAGAGGUCUCAAGCGUUGUUCGGAAUUACUGGGCGUAAAGGGUGCGCAGGCCGCGCGGGCAGUCAAAUGUGUAAUCCAGGGGCUCAACCCCUGAACUGCGCUUGAUACUUCCGCGCUAGAACCUUGGAGAGGAGUCUGGAAUUCUCGGUGUAGCAGUGAAAUGCGUAGAUAUCAGGAGGAACACCGGUGGUGCAGACGGCUCUCUGGACCGUAACUGACGCUGAGACACGAAAGCGUGGGUAGCAAACAGG
rnacentral:rRNA from 1 species